UUUUUCUUUCUUUUUAAUAAAAUAACAAACACAAGCAGAGCAAAUAAAAUAUGUAUCAUUGUGUAUCAAUAAAGUAUUUACAACCUUAAAUAAAGCUAAAUUUAUUCCUAAUCAUACCCAGUUCAGAAAUGUCCAGAUUUUCCUGAACUAUAAAUCUAAACAACUGUAUAGAUUUUAUUUAAAACUUGUCUAAAUGGAUAAAAAUUCAUGUUUCAUAACAUUUAUAUCUAAUUUAUUAUGUUUGUUUUAAGUAUUCAAAACCAUAUUGUUGCGGAUUGCCAAAGCUAAAUGAAACCUGAAUGUUAAAUAUAAUCAAAGCCUUAAAGGCUGUAAAAGCAAUUGCUGCCAUGUUAUGUUUUGGGGACUUUUAUUUUUCAUCCACAUAUAUACAAGAAUUAAAACCUGACAUGAGUGUUGUCUAGUUAAAAGUAAGAAGGUUUUAACUUUAUAUAAAUAAAGACUUUUAGCAGAAAGUCAUUUUUAAUAUGUUUUAUAUUUCACAAGGAGACAACACGUUUACCAGGCUAAAGUUGGGGUCAAAUAUACAUGUGCUGAAACAUAUAACUCAAAAAGAAAUCAUCAUGGAUUAUCCCCUGGUAGUGUUUGUAACUUC
rnacentral:lncRNA from 1 species